UUGAUUGGUGCUUGCAUCAUGAUUUACAUUUGAGUGAGUGGCGAACUGGUGAGUAACACGUGGGAAACCUGCCCAGAAGCGGGGGAUAACACCUGGAAACAGAUGCUAAUACCGCAUAACAACUUGGACCGCAUGGUCCGAGUUUGAAAGAUGGCUUCGGCUAUCACUUUUGGAUGGUCCCGCGGCGUAUUAGCUAGAUGGUGAGGUAACGGCUCACCAUGGCAAUGAUACGUAGCCGACCUGAGAGGGUAAUCGGCCACAUUGGGACUGAGACACGGCCCAAACUCCUACGGGAGGCAGCAGUAGGGAAUCUUCCACAAUGGACGAAAGUCUGAUGGAGCAACGCCGCGUGAGUGAAGAAGGGUUUCGGCUCGUAAAACUCUGUUGUUAAAGAAGAACAUAUCUGAGAGUAACUGUUCAGGUAUUGACGGUAUUUAACCAGAAAGCCACGGCUAACUACGUGCCAGCAGCCGCGGUAAUACGUAGGUGGCAAGCGUUGUCCGGAUUUAUUGGGCGUAAAGCGAGCGCAGGCGGUUUUUUAAGUCUGAUGUGAAAGCCUUCGGCUCAACCGAAGAAGUGCAUCGGAAACUGGGAAACUUGAGUGCAGAAGAGGACAGUGGAACUCCAUGUGUAGCGGUGAAAUGCGUAGAUAUAUGGAAGAACACCAGUGGCGAAGGCGGCUGUCUGGUCUGUAACUGACGCUGAGGCUCGAAAGUAUGGGUAGCAAACAGGAUUAGAUACCCUGGUAGUCCAUACCGUAAACGAUGAAUGCUAAGUGUUGGAGGGUUUCCGCCCUUCAGUGCUGCAGCUAACGCAUUAAGCAUUCCGCCUGGGGAGUACGGCCGCAAGGCUGAAACUCAAAGGAAUUGACGGGGGCCCGCACAAGCGGUGGAGCAUGUGGUUUAAUUCGAAGCUACGCGAAGAACCUUACCAGGUCUUGACAUACUAUGCAAAUCUAAGAGAUUAGAGUUCCCUUCGGGGACAUGGAUACAGGUGGUGCAUGGUUGUCGUCAGCUCGUGUCGUGAGAUGUUGGGUUAAGUCCCGCAACGAGCGCAACCCUUAUUAUCAGUUGCCAGCAUUAAGUUGGGCACUCUGGUGAGACUGCCGGUGACAAACCGGAGGAAGGUGGGGAUGACGUCAAAUCAUCAUGCCCCUUAUGACCUGGGCUACACACGUGCUACAAUGGAUGGUACAACGAGUUGCGAACUCGCGAGAGUAAGCUAAUCUCUUAAAGCCAUUCUCAGUUCGGAUUGUAGGCUGCAACUCGCCUACAUGAAGUCGGAAUCGCUAGUAAUCGCGGAUCAGCAUGCCGCGGUGAAUACGUUCCCGGGCCUUGUACACACCGCCCGUCACACCAUGAGAGUUUGUAACACCCAAAGUC
rnacentral:rRNA from 1 species